rnacentral:rRNA from 1 species
GGCGAAGCCUGACGGAGCACGCCGCGUGAGGGAAGAAGGCCUUCGGGUUGUAAACCUCUGUUUUCAGGGAAGAAGAAAGUGACGGUACCUGAAGAGUAAGCCCCGGCUAACUACGUGCCAGCAGCCGCGGUAAAACGUAGGGGGCAAGCGUUGUCCGGAAUUACUGGGCGUAAAGGGCGCGUAGGUGGUUCAUUAAGUUAUAGGUGAAAGUUCGGGGCUCAACCCCGUGAUUGCCUGUGAUACUGGUGGACUUGAGUGCAGGAGAGGGUAGCAGAAUUCCCAGUGUAGCGGUGAAAUGCGUAGAUAUUGGGAGGAAUACCAGUGGCGAAGGCGGCUAUCUGGACUGUAACUGACACUGAGGCGCGAAAGCGUGGGGAGCAAACAGGAUUAGAUACCCUGGUAGUCCACGCCGUAAACGAUGAGUGCUAGGUGUUGCGGGUAUCGACCCCUGCAGUGCCGUAGUUAACACAAUAAGCACUCCGCCUGGGGAGUACGGUCGCAAGACUGAAACUCAAAGGAAAUGGACGGA